rnacentral:lncRNA from 1 species
AAUUCUUAGGAUUAGCUGAAAACCUAUUUUCAUAUCUAAUUAUAAAUUUUAAAAAUCUAAAAAUGGUUAAAAUCAAGUAGAGCUAUAAACAUAUCAAAAUCUUGAAAAUGGACAGUCUAGAUAAUGUGUUGCAAGAUGUACUAUUUCUGGGACUCAAAAUGUUUUUUUUUCCUUCAUAUUCAUACAUCUUGAUGUUGAGAUGAUCAAUUAGAGGACUUUCCAACAUUGAAACAACAUUCUCCGAUGGAUUUUUGAGGUGCAUCUGUAAUUCUACAUUUUUCAGGUUGCUAACUUUAUAUAAACUUUUCCCUAUAUAUAUAUAUAUAUAUUCAACGUUGAGCUCAUUGCAUUGUAGCUGCAUAUUAUAGUAGUUGCGCUAGUAGUCCCAUAACAACCACCAUCGGCUUCAACCCUUCAACUAGUAGUUGGUGUACUACUAGUAGUUGGCCCACCGAACGAGUUGCUAGAGGGAGCUGCUGGUGCUAGGUUGCCAUCCUAGUUAUUAUAUAUAGUGGGCGUGGAGGUCGGAUGGUCGUCUUCAUUCCAACAACAAUGGGUAGCAUGCGAGGUGUACAAGUAGUACUGGCAGUAGAGAGAUAGCGGGCUGGGGGUUGGUGAUCGAGGUUGGAGGUGUUGAUCGCAGAUCGUUCAGUUGGUUGCUCACAAGUAGUUCAGUAGUAUAACAAGCAUGAGGGUAGGGGAGGUAGUCAAGGGAGGUCCAGUAGUAGUUGGCCCACCACGAGUUGAUAGUUCAGUCCAGUAGUAGUAGCCGGCACCACCCAUUACUCGAGACCAGCAACCGGUUCUAUCAAUUAUUAGUAGUCGAGCAACUACAGCUCCAACAACAAGUGCAAACAGAGCUGCGGGGUUGGGACUACUAGUGUUCCGGGAGUAGCUGGCUGCUUCAUCCUAGUAGUAGCUCAAGGAAACUCGUGAUGAUAUAGUUGGCCGUCAUAGAGCCAUCCUAGUUAUAGUAGUAGUAUUGAUCGACGAGCACCUCGAGAUAGCUAUAGUAGUAGUACGACCGACGAGGGUUCAAGCCUAGUGUUGCGCUAGUACUGGCAGUGGACGGACUGGCGUGUGCAUUCGGUAUAGUAUAGUACGGACGGGGCUGUGUAGUAGACGGAAGGUAGUAGGUGCCAUCAUCAGUUGUUCAGUAGUAGUACCAUCCCAAUCAUUGCUGGCUUGGAGUAGUUGCAGUAGUAGUGGGGACCAUCAUAGCUGGCUUGGUUGUAGGGCUCAAGUCGUUCAAACCAUGUAGUAUCGACCCGCAUGUUGACGGUCCUAGUUGUUCUAUAGUAGACCGACGAUCCAUCCGGGUAUAGAGUAUAGGGUUGUUCACUCACUAUCGAACAUAGAGGUGAUUGAACUAGACGUGAACGACUGAAUCAACAACUACGUAUGUAAGACAAGAACAACUACGAAUGGAUAUUCAGACACUCUAACUAGACUACUAAUACUUCCACGUAGUAACUCAGACUAGCAACUAAUACGAAUAGAUUGAAUGAACGACUGCAAGCCGUAAUUCAACAACUACGUACUCUCGAGGGUUCACUCAUAACUCAUAUACGAAUAGAUAUUAAGAGACUCGAUAGAGUCUGAAUAUGAGAACGUAACAACUCCCACCAACAAGCUAUAUUCAACUCGUAGCUCUUAUACCGUCGAGCAACAAUCGGAAACAAGCGACUGCCGGAACGGAAUGAGAUAGAUAGCCGCAUAACCACCCCUCAUCUCUCUAGCUCGUGGUGCCUUGCUGCUACUGGGAGUACUGGAUUGGCUAUGGUGCUGGAACUACUCUAUUGCUUGCUCGUUCGGUCAAUGCUCAACGACUUUCGGGAAGUCAUAUUAUGCUGUAGCUCGUAUGCCGAUAGUGUGCCGGGCAGGUUCAAGGUCGGGUUAUGUAGGGUUGCUGCUAUCUUAUUGUUUCGUGGGUCGUAUUACUGCUUCGAUUUCCUUCGUUUCGGAACAGCUACUAGGGUUCGGC